rnacentral:rRNA from 1 species
UACAGAGGGUGCGAGCGUUAAUCGGAAUUACUGGGCGUAAAGGGCUCGUAGGCGGCCAACUAAGUCGGAUGUGAAAUCCCCAGGCUCAACUUGGGAACUGCAUCCGAUACUGGAUGGCUUGAAUUCGGGAGAGGGAUGCAGAAUUCCAGGUGUAGCGGUGAAAUGCGUAGAUAUCUGGAGGAAUACCGGUGGCGAAGGCGGCAUCCUGGACCGACAUUGACGCUGAGGAGCGAAAGCUAGGGGAGCAAACGGG